rnacentral:tRNA from 1 species
GGGGCGGUGCGGCGGACUCAUAACCCGUCGGUCCCUGGUUCAAGUCCAGGUUGCCCCA